CUAAUUUCUAUUUACACACUAUUUUUAAACAAAAAAACGCAUUUCCAUAUUUUCUUUCCCUUCUAUCUAUUUUCCUUCGUUAACUCAAUAAUAACUCUCCCACUCUCUGAAUAUACUCACUUUCCAUUUCAAACAAGAUCACGAUUCACACGCUUAUUCUCAUUCAAUGCCAUCGUGCAUGAAAUUAGAAACAAAAUAAAAAAAAUCUCUGACUCCGAGUUCACUCGAGUUGACUCGUUCUUCCCUCUUCUUCUCCUCGAAUCGAGCGUUUUCACAGAAACACCGUUGAUUCGAUUUUCAUUACUCUUUCUGGUGUAA